UAGGGAGACCUAAUCCAUUUAGAAAUCAAAAACAAUGAAAAUUGUCAAUAGAAACUAAAUUGGUCUAACCUAGGUCGUUCGAGAUUGGUAGACAUCUUUCAAAGUAUUAUUCGGCUUCGUUCAAAACCAUAUAUAAUAAAUGGAAAAAGACAGCACCUAAUUGUCAAAGUUAGACUGCUGGGUGAAAUUCCAGCCAGAACCUUGAAAACUGCAUAAGAGAACAAGAAAAAGCAGGCAGACACAGACAUUUAGAUGGAUGUGGAAGCAAAAGAAAUUGU
rnacentral:misc_RNA from 1 species